AGAUCUAGAAAGAUCCAGAGAGCUCUCCGUCAUUGCAAGGUCACCAUCCUCUGCCUCGUCCUCACCCUCGUCGUCCUACGUGGCACUAUCGGAGCCGGUAAAUUCGGGACUCCGGGCCAGGACCUCGCCGAGAUCCGCGACCACCUCUAUUCCCGGAAACGUGGCGAGCCGCAUCGCGUCCUCGAAGAAGUCCAAACGAUUUCCUUAGAUAAACACGACGGCGCCGACACCAACGCCGGCACCAAUAACUACAACGAGUUCGACAUAAAUAAGGUCUUAAUCGAUGAGGAACCAGACGUCCCGAAACGCGAUCCCAACGCGCCCUAUUCGCUCGGGCCCAGAAUCUCCGAUUGGGACGAGCAACGCUCUAGAUGGCUUCAAGAAAACCCUAAUUACCCGAAUUUCAUCGGUCCAAACAAGCCGAGGGUUCUCUUAGUCACUGGUUCAUCUCCCAAACCUUGUGAGAACCCUGUCGGUGAUCAUUACUUAUUGAAAUCGAUCAAGAACAAGAUCGAUUAUUGUAGAUUACACGGGAUCGAGAUAUUUUACAACAUGGCGCUGUUGGAUGCUGAAAUGGCAGGGUUUUGGGCGAAAUUACCGUUGAUUCGAAAGCUUUUGCUCUCGCAUCCGGAGGUGGAAUUCUUGUGGUGGAUGGAUAGUGACGCCAUGUUUACUGAUAUGGCAUUUGAGGUUCCUUGGGAAAGGUAUAAAGACUCCAACUUUGUUAUGCACGGUUGGAAUGAAAUGGUUUAUGAUCAGAAGAAUUGGAUUGGGCUAAACACUGGGAGUUUUUUGUUGAGGAAUGGGCAAUGGGCACUUGACAUUCUUGAUGCUUGGGCUCCAAUGGGUCCUAAAGGCAAGAUUAGGGAAGAAGCAGGGAAGGUUUUGACCCGGGAGCUUAAGAAUAGACCCGUUUUCGAAGCCGAUGAUCAGUCUGCAAUGGUAUAUUUGUUGGCUACUCAAAGGGAGAAGUGGGGUGAUAAGGUUUACUUAGAGAAUUCUUAUUAUUUGCACGGUUAUUGGGGGAUCUUGGUUGAUAGAUAUGAGGAAAUGAUUGAGAAUUAUCACCCAGGUUUAGGGGAUCAUCGUUGGCCGUUGGUGACCCACUUUGUGGGGUGCAAACCUUGUGGUAAGUUUGGGGAUUACUCGGUGGAGAGGUGCUUGAAGCAAAUGGAUAGAGCAUUCAAUUUUGGGGAUAAUCAGAUUCUUCAGAUUUAUGGGUUCACUCACAAGUCAUUGGCUAGUAGAAGGGUUAAGAGAGUACGAAAUGAGACGGAUAAUCCGCUUGAGGUGAAAGAUGAGCUUGGACUGCUUCAUCCGGCUUUUAAAGCCGUUAAGGUAUCCUCUUCUUGAAGAUAUAGGCUUUGUAUGAUAUCUUCUGCUGUUAAAUUAUAGGUUACAAUAUUCAAAUGUUGUGUAUGCAGUGCGAAUUUUGUGUUUACGGUCUGGAUAAAUAGUAUUCUUUUGUUCCUCGUCUUGAAAUUAUGAGUUCUUUAUAUGCUUUCCGAAUGAAAACUUAGCUCCUUGUUCUUUCCACAGCUAUUCAUUUUUUGUAGCUAAUAAGCAAACUUGAUUCUGUCAAUGUUUUAACAUGGUGAUAUAUGUUACUGCAUUUGUAAUUCAAUCAUUAGUCUGCAAUGUUUAUCGAUGUUGGGAGCUGGUAUACUUUCAUACUGCUAGGGUAAGCCAGUGAAACUAGGCCGCUGCAGGUACUCUGUUCUUUGAAACUUUAGCUGGAUGAAUAUAUAGUCGGGUUGAAACUUAAUUGUUGUGGUUAAUUGCUUGUUUUCGUGGUUCAAAAGAAAGUGAGAAACAUCUCACUGAAUGAGGUAAGCAUUGAUUAUCAUUAGUCUCGUUCUCUGUUUCUUGUUUCUUUGAUUCGAACUCUUUAGAUCCCCAUGGAGGAAAAGAGUCGAGGCUUGCUAGGAAUAGGAUGAUAGCGAGCUGCAGUUUCCUGCUUUUAUCAUUUUAAUGGCUGAUAUUUAUGUUGCCCCGAUUCUUAUUUUUCUUCAAAUAUCCGUGUCCAAUGUUCUUGUCUGACACACAUCCGUAUAUGAGUGCCGGAUAUGAUCUUCAAAAUACAUGGAAGAACUUAAAAUUGUUGGGACAUAUAUUUGACACACUACUAAAAGCUGUCGAUACUCAUUUACUCCAUAACUGAGUUCACUAGUAUUGAUGAAUCUGUUCAGCAAUGGAUUCAUCUUUACAAUUACUUUUAAGUAUCAAUUUUUGACAUCUAUGUUAUAUGCUUGUUGAAAUAUGAAUAUAGAGAUAUGAUCAUUAAAACUUGUGUUAACCACGUACCCAUGUCCGAAUUUAUAUUCGACACUUGUUUUCAACUGCAAUAGCUCUAGAUGUCCUAAACAGGGUUAUGAAUUUCCUAGACACUUAAUGACUAAAUUGUAAAUUUUUUUUACUUAAAUAAUUAAAUUAAAAGCUUACCUAUAUAAAUCCAUGAUUUACCCCUAAACCAAAACAUGUCGGACCAGUCAACCUUCUAUAAUAUGGAUAGCACAAAAUUUCAAUAUAAUAUAAUAAUAAAAAUAGAAACAAUAAAAAUGGGAUUGAACGACUUUUUUUUUUCUUAAAAAGGAAAGACUUUAUUAACAUUUUCUGGAUUUUAAAAAAAUGGUCUUAAGUAACACCUUAUAAUUAAAUUUGGUAAGUGCACUGGGCCCCGACCUCUCAUGACAAACUCGUGGUCUUCUCCCUCUUUGUGGAUGGCGUGGGGUUACCAAUUUUUGGAAAUUUAACCAAUAAUGGAGCUGUCCAUUUUUCAUUCUAAUGAUAAGAAUAAAUAAUAAAAAUUAUAAAAAUUAUAAAUCAGUGCAAUUGAUUCAAUUAUUGUUUUUUUUUCGAGUUUUUCGAUUUUUAUCUAUUCACAAGCCAUUAAUUUAUGGUUUAACCGAUUUAAUCAGUUGAUUUAGUCUAAUUCUAACAUCACUGAGAUUACUACUCUAUUAGUCUCGGAAGAUCGAUUUUUCUGGUGGCCAUGCUUUUGGAGGCUUGUUCCUUCUGAUGGGACCUUUCGAGCUCUUUAAGUUCUGUUUGUAUUACUUGAGCUUUUUUUACCAUUGUUUCAGGUAAGGGCGUUCAGAGAUGAAUCAUGAAAUUUGGGGACUCAAAAUAUAAUUUUACCAAUUAUAUUAAUUUGUAAUUUCGUAAAUUUGUAAAGGAUUAAAAAUAUAUUUACCAUUUUGGGGGCAAGGUUACAACCUUCCCCUUUAUCUAUGCGUUGGUUUCAGGGUGUUGCAGUAAGUCCAUCGCCAAAAAGAGCGAGGGACUCAACCCAAACUCUUAUCCAUCAUGUUUUUGCUUUACCCUAAUGCUUGCUCCUCAAGGUUAUCGACAUAAAUCUCCCUCUCUUUGCUUUCAUGUUGAUCUAUGUGUAGAAGGGGGAAUUGCUCGUCGCCUUCCUAGGUUAGGAUUAAGGUUUUUUGUAUCUUUUAUGUUCGUUUUUAUAAUUUAUGUUUGAGGUUUAUGAUUAUAUUUUUUAUAACGUUGUCUCCAAUGUUUAUUUGUUUUUUUUCUUUUGGCUUUUUAUCUUUUAUGCUAUUCAACAUUUGCUUAUUCAUGUUCAUGUCUAUAACCAAAGAAAGUAAAUAAAUCUAGAUAAUUUCUUCAACAACAUAAUGAUACAUAUAAAUAUACAUACAUAUAUUCAUCACACUAAAGGGUAAACUUAAUAAUUAUAACUCUCACAUUAACUUAUUGCUGCUAUAAAAAAAAAUUUAAAAUUGGUUAACCUGCUAAUCGAUGUGUGAACUAAUUGAACUAGGUUAAAAAAUCAAUUGAAUUGGCAGUUGAAUUUAUUUUUAUAAUUUUUUUAUUUUUAAUAAUUUAUUUACUUUGAAUUGAUAUCGGUUGUUCUGGGAACUAAUUGGUCGCAUUAGUUCAAAAUUGAUUCAACUAGAGCUGAUCAUGGGCUGGGCGGCCCGGUCCAGCCCGGCCCGAAAGCCCGCCCGAAAAAUGAGAGGGUUUGGGUAAAAAUAUAGGCCCGAAAAAUGGGCUUGGGAAAAAAAAUGAGGCCCCUUUAAAAAACGGGCCGGGCCUCGAGUAAGAGUUUUUUGGCCCAGGCCCGGCCCGACCCGAAUUAUAUAUUAAUAUAUAUAUAUAUUUAUUUUUAAUUCUUUUAAAUUUUUAAUAUAAUCAUUUUUUAUUAUAUUAUUAAUUUGUGUAUUGUUUUAGUAUUAUUUUUAUUUGUUUUAAUAUUUGUUUUUAUGUUUUUAAAUAUAUUUGAUUUAUUAAAUUUUUAAAUUUUUUUAUUUAAUGAAAUAAAAAAAUUUAAUAUGGGCCGGGCCGGGCCGGGCCGGGCUCUAGCUUAGUAAUUUUAUUUCGGGCCGGGUUUGGGCACAAUUUUAAGCCCAUAUUUCGGGCCGGGCCUGGUAGACGGCCUAAAAAUUUGUAUGGACCCGACCCGAACCUGGCCCGGCCCGACCCGACCCAUGAUCACUUCUAGAUUCAACUAGUUUUUUAACUCAAUUCAACUAGUCUGUACUAUUUCAUGGGUUAAUUGAUUUUCUACCUAUCACCAAAUUGAUACCCCAAUCGAUUUUUGAUCUGAUUAGUCGAUCUAGUUCAAUUUAAAUAAUAUUGAAUUUUGACAUUUUUAUAUUUUAAAUUCAUUUUUAUUUUUUUCAUAUUUUUAUUUUAAAAAAAUUAUAAAUUCUUAAUUUUUUAUUUAAAACAUAAAAAUAAUUUUUAAUGGGUAAUGACCAAAUUAAUAAAAAAAUGUAAAUCUAAAGUUAAAAAUAUUAUUUUACAUUUGACAUCAUUAACUUUAGUGGCAAAUUAGACGGAGUGCAAGAUUUUUAAAGGGUAAACUACCUAUUUAGUCACUGAGUUUACCUAUAUUCCUAUUUUGGUUUCUCAUUUUAAAAUUUUGUUAUUUUAGUUAGUAUUGUUAGAUAAUUUGUCAAUUUUAGUCACUUUACCCUUAAAAUGGGUUUCACCACCAAACAUAAUACUGAUGUGGCCUGCUAUAAUAAUAAAAUUAGCCCUUAAUAUUUACCCAUUUAAUUAAUUUAUUCUUAAUUUUUUUAAAAAAUAAAUUUAACUAUUAAUAUUUACACAUUAUAUAAAUUCAGUCAUGAUUCAAAAAAUUAAGAAGUAUAAAAUAAAAUUCAAAAAUUUUAAAAUUAAUAAAAAUAUACAAAAUACUCAAAAAAAAUUUAAAAAUAGUUUUUACUUCCCACCUUGUGGCUUUGAUGGUUCCCACAGCUGUCGCUUGUGCUGCCUUCUUCGUCAACUUUGGUCAUUGGAUACAACUUGCAAAGUCACAAGUAAAAAACGAAGAUGCAAAAUUCACACAAUAAAAAGGAAUUAAAAAGAAAGAGGGAACCUUUCAUGGAGCUGCCCAAGGUUACUGCCUAUUUUUUUUCUUUAUAAUUUUCUAGUAUUUUAUAUAUUUUUCUAAAUUUUAAUAAUUUUUUAAUUUUUAUGUUAAUUUUUAAUUUUAAUUUUCUUAAUUUUUAGAAUCAUGACCAAAUUAGAAUAUUGUGUAAAUAUUAAGGGCUAAUUUUGUUAUUUUUUAAAAUAAAGAUCAAAUUAACAAAAUGGGUAAAUAUUGAGGACUAAUUUUUUUAUUAUACUAGGUCACUUCAACAUUUCGUUAUAAUCAAAUCCACUUUAACGAGUGACUAAAAUUAAUAACUUAUCUAACGAGAGUAACUAAAAUUGACAACUUACUAAAUAGAAGUGACUGAAAUAACAAAUUUUUGAAAUGAGUCACCAAAAUAGGAACGCGGGUAAACUCAAGUGACUAGGAAGUGUACCCAUUUUUAAAUAUAAAAAAAGUCUCAAAAUUAAAAUUAUAAGGACUAAAUUUUUAAUUUUAUAAGAGUACAGGGGACUAUAACAGAUUUAAACCAAAAUAAAUCACACCGACACAUAUCGCCAUUUUUAUCAGAGAAAAGAGUAUCUAAAAUCUCCCCAAAAAUCUUUGAAAUUUCAUUUCCGAGGGUUCUCUCUGGAUUCCCUAUUUUCCAAAUCGGUAUUGUUAGGGAUUUGACGCUAAUCCGGAUCGGGUAACGAACCGGAAGAUGAUAGACAAUUGCUUGGGAGCUCAAAGAUCUAGAAAGAUCCAGAGAACUCUCCGUCAUUGCAAGGUCACCAUCCUCUGCCUCGUCCUCACCGUCGUCGUCUUACAUGGCACUAUCGGAGCCGGUAAAUUCGGGACUCCGGGCCAGGACUUCGUCGAGAUCCGGGACCACCUCUAUUCCCGGAAACAAGGCGAACCGCAUCGCGUCCUCAAAGAAGUCCAAACGACGUCGUCAGAUAACCACGACGGCGCCGACACCAACGCCGGCACCAAUAACUACAACGAGUUCGACAUAAAUAAGAUCUUAAUCGACGAGGAACCA
rnacentral:lncRNA from 1 species